UUCGCGGCUCCGUUCACCAAGAGAGGUCUGCUGCUCAAGUUCCUGCUGCUGGGCGGCGGCUCACUUCUGGCCUACGUCAGCGCGUCGGCGUCACCGGACCUCCUGCCGAUCAAGAAGGGACCUCAGGAGCCGCCGCAGCCGGGCCCGCGCGGCAAGAUCUAAGCUCAGCUUCUCCAUUUGCAUGGUCUAGUAGCUUGCUUUGUACUGCUAGCGCCGGUCGAUCCGUCGCAAUCGUCAUGGAUCAUCUCUCUAU
rnacentral:lncRNA from 1 species